AACAUAAUUUAUGGCCCAUAAGUGAAGCAUUAUUGAAUACUCCAUUCAAGAGAAAUGGAUCACACACAUUAUGAUUCUCUCAACAAAACAAUAGGCUAUAAUCAGAAAGAAUGAACUUGUUGCAUCAACAUAGAAUUCAAAAUUAGUCAAACAGUGCAUUUCUUCAUGGCAUGCAAAACAAAGUUCAUCCUCGGUAAAAGAAAGCGCAUAAAACAAUCAUGUUUCCAUUGACUAAUAAUGCAAUCGCUUCGGUGUUAUCGGUUUUCAUCAAACAUUCUCCUGUCUUCCAUCCAAUAUCCCUACUAUUGCAGAAAGUGUCAGUAACCUGCAGAAAAAUACGAUCUCUAACAAUAAAAAAGAAGUGGCAAGGUCAACUUUGCAUUAUAUACAUGCAAAUAUAAGUAAACCAUUCAAGUGAUAAUAAACGAAGGCCCUGAAAUAGAGUAAAUAGCGUAGCGACAAUGUCAGUUACCAAAGAAAAAAGGUAAAAGUCAAAAUGAAAAGCUGACAAAGUAAAGGUAUGGUUUUAAUCUACUCCCUCGCCUAAUAUAAGACCUUUUAGCGAUUUCACUAUUGACUACAUUCAUACUAUAAUGAGUGAAUAUAGUCAUAUGCACACUAAAAUGUGUCUAGAUAUAUACGAAUCAAGAAAAAGCUAAAAGAUCUUAUAUUAGGGAACGAAGGGAGUAGUAUGCGGCACCGACACAGAUGUGGACCAAUUGGACAGGGAGGUAGUUUAAUUAUUAUAAAUGCUAAUGCGUAGUGCUAGUAACUCUCUCUAUACUUGGCGGACAUGUAUCUAGCACGCCGGGUUUUGCACGAUCUGUUAUUUCAUUUUCAUAUGUUUCAAUACUAAUCGGAGAAAAUAAAAGUUCCUCCGUGCUACUCUGUUUGACUCACAAAAUAGACUGGCAAAGAUACUACUCAAGGUUUUUCUUUUUUUCGAGAAAUAACCACUCAGCUUUUGACUCGGCAAAAUCAAAUGUGGAACUCUUUUGACAUUAGCAUCGUUGGUACCUUAGCUGAGGGUCUUGUGAUGUUGCCAUGUUUUGUUUUAAGCUGAAUCUUUCGGCUUCAAAGUAAUUAGUUAAUGCUCAAAUAGUCAGUGUUAAUCAAAGGUGUAAACAGACUGUAAAGCAAACAAGUAGUUGCAGUGAUCUUCUUCAUCACUUAUGUAGAUCGGGUUGCUGAUGCCUUUCCCUAUCAUACUGUAACCUGUACUAAAGGUCUGGAAAUGGUGUGCACACAGGAAACUAUAUUGUGCCCGAAACUACAUUUUCCAGAAUUUGCAUACAGGUUCCAUUACUCUGUUGGGAAGCAUAAACCAUUGAUCUAUACAGUAAAUUGCUUUUUCUUGAAUUUGCAUACAAGCUUGGGUUUGUAGUAACCAAACAAUACUCAGUGGCAUACAAAACUAAAAGGUACUUCCUCUGUCCCAAAUUGGAGGUAGUAUGUUGCUUGGUGGGCAAUGGCAUGUAUGUAAACAGAGAUAGAAAACAGAAAUGGAAAUAGAAUUGAAAGAGUAAGUGACCAGAUUGCGAACCUAAACAGAAAGAAUAUACAAAGGGCAUGCAUCAAAAUAUAUUUAAGUUAAUAAAUGGCAACACAUAUAUAUUAAACAACCUAAACGGAAAGAAUGUACAAAGAACAAGCAUGAAAAUAUAUUUAAGUUAAUGAAUGGCAUCACAUUAUAUAUUAACCAAAAUACACGAGUCAUCCUAAAGCCAAUAUAAAAAACCAACUAAUAAACCUGAAAGUAGGAAUCGGCAAUGCAUUAAUAUCAAAAUCUAAUUGUUCGGCAAUGAAGCAAGUAGCUUGAGUGACUCUAAGUGCGCUUUGUCUUUCCCUUUGCAAGUGUGAUACGUACUAAGCUAUGUUUAAAUAUUUACCAAAAAAGUAUGGCGACGACGAAGCUGAUACAAAAAAGGCCAGCAACUCCUAGUGCAAAUCACAACUGCAAAAUGUUCAAACCAACUAUUUGCUCAGAUGUUGCAACCAUCCUGCACAACCAGUACUUUCUACCAUACCAUGAAACACCUAUAUCCCGAACAACGUAAGCCAUUACCCUAAUAUGUAAGGCUACUAUUACAGGAAGGAACUUUACCUAGCACUUGGCUGGGCAGAUGGCUACAUAGCUAUUUCAUCCUUCUAAGUAGUUAUGCAUGGUCCUUGCAGAAUAAUGCCUAAAAAAUAACUUCCCUGAACAAUAGGGAACACAACACAUACAGUAGCCUCAAAGCACUGUAGAUCUCUCUAAAAUAAACCAUGCUCAUAGUAAGUAAAUAGAGGAGCACAAAAGGCAUACAUGCAGCAGAGCCAGAUCGUCAAGUGUCUUCCUUUUCUGAAUAUCCAAGAGAAAACACUGUCAGUUUUUUUUCACAAACUCCCAUGUGCCUUUGGAACAGCAAAACAACCCUAAAGAGCAUAAUCAUAUUCUUUCAUGGAAGAAAUUUUUAGGAAACUAACAAAUCUACUCUUUUAACCACUUCCUACCUAGAGUCUUAAGAGACUGCAGAUAGCAAGUAGAUCAAAACAAAAUCAAACUGAAAUCGGACCAUAGAACAUCGAGUUCGCGCCGACGGCCAAAGUCCUGGCCGCCACCCCAUACACCAUGCCCACAUACGUUUUUAUAGUCAGUCCACUAAUGCGAGCACGCCGAUUAAACACAGAAAAUGUAUAGUGGCGAGUAGGCCAUUCUGUGAAGAAAAUGACUGAUGGAGGCCAUUGAAAAUUCAGUAGUAAGCAGGAAACAUCAAACCGUGAGCCUUGCCAGUCGCCGCAGCUUACCAGCUUUCCACCAGCGACCUCCUCUGACUACCCACCCGCACACAGAGCAGCGCAGCCUCCGGCUCCAUCCCAUAGAGGCAUGAGUCAAGCUUUCACAUUUUCACAAAGAAGUUUCUAUCCGGCAUUGGAUCGAC
rnacentral:lncRNA from 1 species